AGAUGCUUCUGGGUCGCGGUGUGCUAAGCGAGGAGUCCGAGUGUGUGAGCUUGAGAGCCGCGCGCUAGAGCGACCCGGCGAGGGAUGGCGGCCACCGGGACCGCGGCCGCCGCAGCCACGGGCAGGCUCCUGCUUCUGCUGCUGGUGGGGCUCACGGCGCCUGCCUUGGCGCUGGCCGGCUACAUCGAGGCUCUUGCAGCCAAUGCCGGAACAGGAUUUGCUGUUGCUGAGCCUCAAAUCGCAAUGUUUUGUGGGAAGUUAAAUAUGCAUGUGAACAUUCAGACUGGGAAAUGGGAACCUGAUCCAACAGGCACCAAGAGCUGCUUUGAAACAAAAGAAGAAGAGGAGGAAGAGGAGGAGGAAGAGGAAGAGGAAGAGGAAGACUAUGAUGUUUAUAAAAGUGAAUUUCCUACUGAAGCAGAUCUGGAAGACUUCACAGAAGCAGCUGUGGAUGAGGAUGAUGAGGAUGAGGAAGAAGGGGAGGAAGUGGUGGAGGACCGAGAUUACUACUAUGACACCUUCAAAGGAGAUGACUACAAUGAGGAGAAUCCUACUGAACCCGGCAGC
rnacentral:sRNA from 1 species